rnacentral:rRNA from 1 species
AUUGAACGCUGGCGGCAGGCCUAACACAUGCAAGUCGAGCGGGGUUUUCGGACCUAGCGGCGGACGGGUGAGCAAUGCGUAGGAAGCUACCCGAUAGAGGGGGAUACCAGUUGGAAACGACUGUUAAUACCGCAUAAUGUCCACGGUACAAAGUGUGGGACCUUCGGGCCACAUGCUAUCGGAUGCGCCUACGUGGGAUUCGCUAGUUGGUGGGGUAAUGGAUUACCAAGGCGACGAUCCCUAGCUGGUUUGAGAGGAUGAUCAGCCACACUGGAACUGGGACACGGCCCAGACUCCUACGGGAGGCAGCAGUGGGGAAUAUUGGACAAUGGGCGCAAGCCUGAUCCAGCCAUGCCGCGUGUGUGAAGAAGGCCUUCGGGUUGUAAAGCACUUUCAGUAGGGAGGAAGAGUGUUGUGUUAAUAGCAUAGCAUUUUGACGUUACCUACAGAAGAAGCACCGGCUAACUCUGUGCCAGCAGCCGCCGUAACAC